UUCGCAAUGCCCGAAAGGGUGACGAAGCGACGCCGCGUGGGUGAGGAAGGCCUUCGGGUUGUAAAGCCCUGUCAGGAGUUAAGAAAUAUAAGUGCGCUAAUAUCGCAUUUAUUUGACGAAGGCUCCAAAGGAAGCCACGGCUAACUCUGUGCCAGCAGCCGCGGUAAUACAGAGGUGGCAAGCGUUGUUCGGAAUUAUUGGGCGUAAAGAGCACGUAGGUGGGUUUGUAAGUCAGAUGUGAAAGCCUCCUGUUCAACGGGAGAAUUGCAUCUGAAACUGCAAGUCUUGAGUGUAGGAGGGGAGAGUGGAACUUCUGGUGGAGCGGUGAAAUGCGUAGAUAUCAGAAGGAACGUCGGCGGCGAAAGCGACUCUCUGGCCUAUUACUGACACUGAGUGUGCGAAAGUUAGGGGAGCAAACGGGAUUAGAUACCCCGGUAGUCCUAACUGUAAACGAUGGGCACUAAGUAGAGGGGUUUU
rnacentral:rRNA from 1 species